AAAUUGAAGAGUUUGAUCAUGGCUCAGAUUGAACGCUGGCGGCAGGCCUAACACAUGCAAGUCGAGCGGAAACGAGUUGUCUGAACCUUCGGGG
rnacentral:rRNA from 1 species